UGCAGGCCUAAAGUCAGGCUCAGAAAUGCUUCUUGCUGGCAUGUUGGAUCUUCUCAUAUUAUCACUUAUGGGUUCCAUUGAUGCCGACAAGGCAAGUGAUACACUGCUUCUGCUAGAAGCUGUUGCGGGACGGUUAUUAAUAUCAGCAUUAUCAGAAGCUUUCGGGGGCGAAGGGCCUAUCAUCUUGUGUAGACCAAUAUUGCCAAAAACCAUUGCACAAUUGACGUCGAGCCUCCCUGGAUAACAGGAAAGUGAGUAUAAAAGCCGAGUGUCCGCUUACAAACCUGAGAGUGGAUACGAAGACGCUCUUCCAAGGCUACAGCCGCUUCUUUGCACACAUC
rnacentral:lncRNA from 1 species